rnacentral:lncRNA from 1 species
AAUCUUUUUUUUGCACAGCUCAUAUUUGCUAGUUUAGCUAAGUUAGUAAGGGAAGACCCUUCAAAACUGGCAGAUUUGAGCUCAGAUCUGAUAAAUGAAAGGAUGCCAGCCAUGAGCAGAGUUGGGGAAGAAAUUUCCAGGAAGAAGAAACAAGUCGGUAGGUAAAAUUUGAUACAUGCAAGGAAUGAUGAGAAAGCCAGUGGGGCUGGAGUGUGAUGCUGCGGAGAAUCGCAGGGGCUCACUCUUUCAAAUGUGAGGUCCAAGGAAAGAGAAGCAGAGUGCGGUCACCACGAGACAAUGGAGCAACGCCUGGGGUUCUGAGGGGAGUUCUCUCUGUCUAGAGUGAGGGCGCAGGGACUUCCCUGCGGGUCCAGUGGCUAAGAUUCCUCACUCCCGAUGCAGGGUCCUGGGUUCCAUUCCUGGUCAGGGAUCUAGAUCCCACAUGCCGCAACCAACGGUUUGCAAGCUGCAGCUAAAAAUCCUGCGUGCUGCAACUAAGACCCAAUACAGCCAAAUAAAAAAGAAAGAAAGGAGAAGGAAGGAAAAAUGACUAAGGGCACAAUGAAAAUAUUUCAGACUCAUGAGAAGUCAGGAAUGUUACCUAUAAAGCAAGUUUUCUUAGGCUCUUCAUACCGCAGUCUACGCCAAUGAGGCAAGGACAAGAAGAGGACAACAGGGGCCGACCCAGGAAGACCCCGUGGACCACACCACUGCGACGGCAGUGUGAUUUCCCUGGAGAACACUCUAUAGGCUCCAGCCGCUUUGGAAGAGGGACCCCAUUGUCCUGCAAGGGGACGGAGUGGACCACAGCUUGGAUUACAGAACCGGGACAGCCACUCUGCCUGGAAAGGGCAUUGAGUACAACACCGAUUCAGGGAACUUCAAGUCCACGUGGAUUCAAGAUGGUCCUUCAGCUUUUCUCUAUGCAAGAUGCUGUAAAGAUGGUCCCCACCUGUAGACAGCUUGUGGUCAAGCAGGGAGAUUGGCCAGUUCAUGUCAAAAAAGAGCUUGGAAUGCAGGUAGAAUUCCUGCUUUCUUCUCAAUGAAAUAUUGAACCUGAGGCUGCCCAUGGGAGGCCAGUUGUGGCUAGGAGGCACAGCGCUAAUCCUUUCACGUUUGUCACCAAAAUUUGCUCAACGUGGGAAACUUGCUUUUCUUACAAAUGAACACUGUUUUCUGUCAAAUUGAACACUGAGACUGUACGCCUCAAAGCAGUGUUGAUCCAACUUACUUUAAAAGCUAGGAGACAUAGGGGG